AUAUAGUCUAAAUAAAAAAUAAAAGCAAAUCAACUAUUAGCUGAUGAUAAAUAAAUAUAAAAUAGAGCUGGUACAAACUGCAACUAAUAAAUGGUCUAUUUGUUAUUAUUGAUCAAAUCAAUGAAUUGUUGAUUAGGACUUCUAAAGCUUUUAUUUCUCUCUUUCGGAGAGGGUGUUUGACUUAACUUGUAAAUAUUUGCUUAUAAGCUAAGUUGAGUUUAUAAUUAUUUAUAAUAUUAAGUAGUUAUGAGUUUGGUUAAAGUGUUUAUAAGUGAUUAAUAAACAAUUAAUGUUUAGUAAAAAAUAGUUUAUAAGCACAUUUAUUAUUAAAA
rnacentral:misc_RNA from 1 species